GAUGUAUCAUUUUCAUGAUAUGAUUGACAUGCUUGUUGGGUGUGGCUAUAAGAAAGGAACCACAUUGCUUGGUUAUGGUUAUGACUUCAGGCAAAGCAAUAGAAUUGACAAGCUGAUGGAUGGCCUUAAAGCCAAGUUGUAAACUGCUUGCAAAGCCACUGGUGGAAGGAAAGUUAACUUGUUACUUUUCUUUGUUGAUGUUAUUUCUGGCUUGAAUGUAGCUCUAAUUAAUUUUUAUGAAUCUGUAUUUGUUUAAUUGUGUAGUUUCUCAGUGCUAGGAGUAUUAAUGCAUUCUGUUAGUGCUCACUGUUGGCUACAACAAUGCUGCAGGUGUAAUAUGACCUUGUAUUGCCUGUGAUGAAUAUGUGUUUUCUUUCUUUCCUUUUAACCAAUAAUCAUUGAUCACAUACACAUUACUUUUACUGUAUGUUGCCACAAGACUACGAGAGCAUAUGUUUUGUCUUCUCCUCAUAAAUUUGGAAAGAAAUGACUAUAAGCUUUUUCGACUCCUUGUGUGCCUUUCUCUUGAUUUAAGUUUAUUAUGCUGAGUUUUGGUUGUUUAAAUAAUAUUGUU